CCUACGCGAGGCAGCAGUGGGGAAUAUUUGGCCAUGGGCGCAAGCCUGACCCAGCAACGCCGCGUGAAGGACGAAGGCUUUCGGGUUGUACACUUCUUUUCUCAGGGACGAAGAAAGUGACGGUACCUGCGGAAUAAGCCACGGCUACCUCCGUGCCAGCAGCCGCGGUAAUACGUAGGUGGCAAGCGUUAUCCGGAUUUAUUGGGUGUAAUGGGCGUGUAGGCGGGAGAGUAAGUCAGAUGUGAAAACUCAGGGCUCAACCCUGGGCCUGCAUUUGAAACUGUGUUUCUUGAGUGAUGGAGAGGCAAACGGAAUUCCGGGUGUAGCGGUGAAAUGCGUAGAUAUACGGAGGAACACUAGUGGCGAAGGCGGAUUGCUGGACAGUAACUGACGCUGAGGCGCGAAAGCGUGGGGAGCGAACAGGAGUAGAUACCCUAGUAGUC
rnacentral:rRNA from 1 species